rnacentral:rRNA from 1 species
UACGGAGUGUGCAAGCGUUACUCGGAAUCACUGGGCAUAAAGCGCGCGUAGGCGGGUUUCCAAGUCGGGUGUGAAAUCCCUCAGCUCAACUGAGGAACUGCAUCCGAUACUGUUUGUCUUGAGGACGGGAGGGGAGAGUGGAACUUCUGGUGAAGCGGUGAAAUGCUUAGAUAUGACAUAGAACACCCAUUGCGAAGGCAGCUCACUACGCAUAUAUUGACGCUGAUGCACGAAAGCGUGGGGAUCAAACAGG